CCACUGUCAACCCCUUUGUUGUGGGGCCCCUAUUCUCCCCUGCUUGCGUCACCCCUGAACCAAGCAGGGGUGCCAGUGUCAAGAAGAAUAGUGUAUAUUAGUAAAGCUUAAUUUCUUUUAAAUUUGUUUUUAGAAAAAUAAAUACAAAUGGAAGUUUAAUUUUUUUCUUCCUACACCGCCAUGCAUCUUGUGUAUUCCCUGGGGUGUAUACGUGCCUCUGCCCUAAGCAAAUGGAAUUUUAAACCAACUGUCAUUUUAGAUGGAUCACCCAGUUGGCAUGUGGACGUCUGCUAUUCUCUUGAGCUUUUAAGAGGCUGUUGAUAUACUUCCAGUCAGAGAGGACAAGAGCCUCCAGGGUGGCCUUGGGAAAGGAAAGAGUCAAGGAAUUGGAGAGGUAUUUAAGAGAAGCAGUUUAUAGGACUUCAUUUCCAUAACAGCAGAACAUCUGGGAGUGGGAGUUGUUAAAGACAGAUUACUGCACCAAGAGUAAAGUUUGAUUGAGAGGCUGGGAGAGGACUCAGCCAUCCAAAGCUUCCCUUGAAGGCCAGUGAUACCCCAAGGGGCAAGCUAACGACGCAUGUCUGGGAAUUCUUCCAAUGGCUCUCCUCCUUUCCUUAGCCCCUGCCUCUGAGGCAGUGGCUGUGUCCAAUGGAGGACUCAUGACUUCCAUCUGUAAGCUCUCCCUCCCAGUUAGUCCACUGUCUCCCUGGGGAGAGCCAAUGCACAUCAGAGUAUCAGUAUUAAAAACAACUUCUCAGCUAGAUUCCUCUCAGACAUCUAGUACAUCAAAAUCCCUCUCACCCUAAUUCCUUUUCCUCCUCUCUCCCUCCGCCACUGGGACUAGGUUCUUCUCUUAGCUCUUGGGGUGCCUUCUGCAUCCCCCCGGCCCCCUCUGUACCCUCCAUGUUCCGGUUCCAGGUUCUUCCUGGACUGAGCAGUAGGGGAAAAGGAGCAUCUGGUUUAGCAAAAGAUUUGAAGGUGACCUUCAUCGAGCCCUAAGAGAGAUAACAAUCUCUCUGCAAUCAACGAGCCUGGCUCCUCUGGAUACCAAAAUAGCAACUGUGGAGUAAGUCUGCCCCCUCCACCUCCUUCCCCUCCCUUUUUCUUCAGGACAACACAAAGAAACUCUAGGGGUGAACUGGGAAAUCACAGUAUCUUCUAACAGCCUGAAAGCCUGAAAAGCAAGUUCCUGUGUAUGUGUAUCUGCGGCUCAUCGGUACAGAAAAGCUAAUUAUCUCAGCGCUGUCGCCACCACCUUGCAUUCAGCAAAUUCUGUCCUUUCGAUUGUGAUCUUAUCGGUCCUAUCAAUAAUCCUGAGUUCAUAGAGGGUCCAGAAAUGGUGCACCCAUUCUAGGUAGGAGGGAACCAGGGUCCCAGGCCUGCCCAGGGUCACCCAGGGACGGAGUUCCCAGAGCAAAAGAUGACAGUCUGCUUCCUAAGAGUUCCUGUGGUAGAUUUCCACUGGGAAUGGCAUGUGUUCUCAGGACUUGAUUGCCAGACCUCAGGAACAUUUGCUAUUGGGAUGAUUAUUUUAUAGCAAUCUUAACAACCUCGUGCUGGCUCCCACCCUAUUCCUCUACUCCCUGGGCUGAGCCCUGAGCUGUUUUGAGCGACUGUUGCAGCACCCAGUGGGCGGUUAUCAAGGUAGGAACAUAUGGAGUGGGGAAGGAAAGAUCCUCCACUCUACGGCGUUUGGGGAGGGGAGUGAAGACGGCAUUUGUCAGGGUUGGAGUUAGCAGGGAUAUGGAACAUGUAUUUACAUAUGGCGGCAAAUUGCUGAUGGGAAAGAAGAAGCUGGCAAAUGGGAUGACUCAUCUAGAGAUGAAAAACACAAUAUCUGAAAUGAAAGAUAUACUGGAUGGAAUUACAGUGAGUAAGAUGUUAUAGAAGUAAAGAUUAGUCAACUUGAAGAAUAAAAAUGAUCCAAAAUUACAUAAUGAAACUGGGAAAAGAAGAGCAACUCACCAAGAAAACAUAAAAACCCUCAAUGCAUCUACUCCUAAAAAUACAGCUUCAAAAUAUAUGAAGCAAAGAUGAGAGAACUGAAAGAAGAAAUAGAAAACCCCACAAUUACAGUUGGAGACUUCAAUAACCGUUUCUCAAAUUUUAGAGAACAACUGGAGAAAAAGUCUGUAAGGAUCUAAAAGUCCCAGCUGCAUCUGGGAGGCAUGAGGCAGCUCUGCCAGCUGCACCUGAGCUCUGGAAUGUCAGUCAUGGCCAUCUUUCCUGCUGAAAUGUUCACAGAUAGCUGGGGUAGGAUGCCUCUAACAUCGUCCCUCAUUGCUGUUUCUGGACAUCUGAAAAGCUAGUGGCAGAGGGCUUUGUAAGGCCAAAUUUCAAAUGCAGGGACCCAUAAUUAGAGGCUGCAGUCCCAAGACAGUCUCUUAUAAAGCCCAACCCCCUUACCUUGUGUCAUGGAUUGAGCUGUGUGCCCCUAAAUCUCUUGUGUUGAAGUCCUAACCCCCAGCAUGUGACCUUACGUGGACAUAGGGUAGUUGCAGAUGUAAGUAGUUAAGGUGAGAUCAUACUGGAGUAGAGUGAGCCUCUGACCCAAUAUGACUGGUGUCCUUAUCCAAAGGGGAAAUGUGGACACAGACACACACAGGGAGAAGGCUCUAUGAUGAUUGGAGUGACGCUGCUACAAGCCAACGAACGACCAGAAGCUGGGAGAGAGACCUGGGAAAGACCCUUCCCUGGCGCCUUCAGAGCAGGCAUGCUCCCGCUGACACCUUGAUUUCAGACUUCCGGCCUCCAGAACUGUGAAACAAUGUAGUUUUGUUGUUCUAAGCCACCCAGUUUGUUAUGGCAGCCCUUGUGAACCAACACAGCUCAGCUCUGGCCCCAGCCUCCCUUUCCAGUACUAUCGUCCACCCCUCCCCUGCAGGAACUCGUGCUCCACAACACUGGUGCCCAGGCAGUUAUUUGUGGAAUAACCUGCUGCAUGGUUGUCUACUGGCCAGGUUCUCAGAUUGCACCCAAGAGACACACGGAGCAUCUGGGAAUGUGGGGAGGCCGGGAAAACCACCCAUUCAGCAGCCCAUCACCUGUGUCCUAUUUGUCCCGUCCUAGCAUGUGUAGAGGCUCCACAGAGGCCCUGAGGGUGGCCUCCUCAGGGAGCACCCUGAUCUUAAGUGAUUUUUCUUCAUGGUAGUUUCCAGAAGAAGAGUAUGAUGGGUCAGUGACUCUCACUCAGAGUGACACUCAUCUCCUGGGCUCGGUGAAUGAGUUAACAUUCACAAAACCCUCAGAACUGGCCGGCACAUAGAGACGGCUAUAGAAGUGUUGACCCAUCUAAGAGAUGGCUUCUCUUGAGUUCUAGCUUUUACAUGAUUGCUUUCUGUUCACACAUGGAGCCUUGGUCCAGUUCUCAAGUUUGAUGUCCCCUCCUUAACAAGCACCCUCAACGGAUGGAGGCUAGCCAAAGAGAAAGUAUGGAAACCCACUUGGACCCCUUUUCCUAGUCAGAAGCUGUGUAUGUGGCUGGUUAUAAAGGCUGGAUGGAUUCCUCACUACACCCACUAAAAAUAAGUGGCCGGCCUGGUGGUGAGGUCUUCUGGGCUCCUCUCACGGUGCUGUCACCGACUGGCACACAUCAUGCCUGCCUCUGCUGCUGGGUCCCUGCCACAGGGGAAGGAGGACUGUCGUCUGCUCCGUCCUGCCGCUCAGCGUGAGCUCCGUGACGAUAAGGCUGCUUUACAGCAGUGUGCCCCAAUAUAACAAGAGCCUCUCGGAUGCUGCUUCAGUUGAGCCUCGAUCUUGCACACUGCUGUUUUAAAUCCCAACUCUCUGAUCUUGUCCUUGGCAGGGAUUCGUUCAGUCAGGCAACACUUACUGGACACCUACUAUGUGCCAGGGACUCACAGGAGUGCUGGGAAUCAGGGACAUAAAACAAGACGCAGCCCCAGGGUUCGAGCUGCUCCAGUAGGGGAGCCAGGCGUGUAAACAAAUGAUUAGAGCACAAUGUAAUUAGUGCUAAUAGAGGUGCGUGCAAAGUGCUCAGGGCACGGAGGAGGAGUGAGUAGCUCAGCCUCAAGUCAUCAUCCUCCAGCUGCUCUGAGUUAAUGUCACUGUUGUACCUACAAAGAAAGAGGCUUUGCCCAAGGAGGCAUUGAUGCUGUGUCGUUCAACGUGUAUCACACAUGUAGACACACACUCAUCACACAUCAUACACAGACAAUACACAUCACACAUACACACAUCACACAUAGACACCUGAAGGCCUCCCACCCUCCUGUAGGCUGGCUAAUGUCAGCCCUGCCCCC
rnacentral:lncRNA from 1 species